rnacentral:rRNA from 1 species
AGAGUUUGAUCCUGGCUCAGGAUGAACGCUGGCGGCGUGCUUAACACAUGCAAGUCGAACGAUCCUUCGGGAUAGUGGCGGACGGGUGAGUAACGCGUGGGAAUCUGCCCUUAGGAGGGGGAUAACGGCUGGAAACGGCCGCUAAUACCCCAUAUGCCGAGAGGUGAAACGAAUUUCGCCUGAGGAUGAGCCCGCGUCUGAUUAGCUAGUUGGUGGGGUAAAGGCCUACCAAGGCGACGAUCAGUAGCUGGUCUGAGAGGAUGAUCAGCCACACUGGGACUGAGACACGGCCCAGACUCCUACGGGAGGCAGCAGUGGGGAAUUUUCCGCAAUGGGCGAAAGCCUGACGGAGCAACGCCGCGUGAGGGAUGAAGGCCUCUGGGCUGUAAACCUCUUUUCUCAAGGAAGAAGAACUGACGGUACUUGAGGAAUAAGCCACGGCUAAUUCCGUGCCAGCAGCCGCGGUAAUACGGGAGUGGCAAGCGUUAUCCGGAAUUAUUGGGCGUAAAGCGUCCGCAGGCGGCCUUGUAAGUCUGUUGUUAAAGCGUGGAGCUCAACUCCAUUUAAGCAAUGGAAACUACAAGGCUGGAGUGUGGUAGGGGCAGAGGGAAUUCCCGGUGUAGCGGUGAAAUGCGUAGAUAUCGGGAAGAACACCAGUGGCGAAGGCGCUCUGCUGGGCCAUAACUGACGCUCAUGGACGAAAGCCAGGGGAGCGAAGGGAUUAGAUACCCCUGUAGUCCUGGCCGUAAACGAUGAACACUAGGUGUCGGGGGAAUCGACCCCCUCGGUGUCGUAGCCAACGCGUUAAGUGUUCCGCCUGGGGAGUACGCACGCAAGUGUGAAACUCAAAGGAAUUGACGGGGGCCCGCACAAGCGGUGGAGUAUGUGGUUUAAUUCGAUGCAACGCGAAGAACCUUACCAGGGUUUGACAUCCUGCGAAUCCCUUGGAAACGAGGGAGUGCCUUCGGGAGCGCAGUGACAGGUGGUGCAUGGCUGUCGUCAGCUCGUGUCGUGAGAUGUUGGGUUAAGUCCCGCAACGAGCGCAACCCACGUCUUUAGUUGCCAGCAUUCAGUUGGGCACUGUAGAGAGACCGCCGGUGAUAAACCGGAGGAAGGUGUGGAUGACGUCAAGUCAUCAUGCCCCUUACAUCCUGGGCUACACACGUACUACAAUGCUACGGACAAAGGGCAGCAAGCUCGCGAGAGUUAGCAAAUCCCAUAAACCGUGGCUCAGUUCAGAUCGUAGGCUGCAACUCGCCUACGUGAAGGAGGAAUCGCUAGUAAUCGCAGGUCAGCAUACUGCGGUGAAUACGUUCCCGGGCCUUGUACACACCGCCCGUCACACCAUGGAAGUUGGCCAUGCCCGAAGUCGUUACUCCAACCCUUGUGGAGGAGGACGCCGAAGGUGGGGCUGAUGACUGGGGUGAAGUCGUAACAAGGUA